UACGAAGAGGUUCUUAGCCAUACCCUCUUAAAAAAACUAAGACACA
rnacentral:ncRNA from 1 species